AGAGUUUGACCUGGCUCAGGACGAACGCUGGCGGCAUGCCUAACACAUGCAAGUCGAACGGAGGUGGAAACACCUUAGUGGCGAACGGGUGAGUAACACGUGAGCAACCUGCCUCAUACACCGGGAUAACAGUUUGAAAAGACUGCUAAUACCGGAUAAGACCACGUCCCGGCAUCGGGGAGGGGUCAAAGUGAUUUAGCGGUAUGAGAUGGGCUCGCGUCCAAUUAGUUAGUUGGCGGGGUAACGGCCCACCAAGACGACGAUUGGUAGCCGACUUGGGAGAGUGAUCGGCCACAUUGGAACUGAGACACGGUCCAAACUCCUACGGGAGGCAGCAGUGGGGAAUAUUGGGCAAUGGAGGAAACUCUUACCCAGCAAUGCCGCGUGAGUGAUGAAGGUCUUAUGGAUUGUAAAGCUCUUUGAUUAGGGACGAAUAAAUGACGGUACCUAAAGAACAAGCCCCGGCUAACUAUGUGCCAGCAGCCGCGGUAAUACGUAGGUUGCAAGCGUUGUCCGGAUUUACUGGGUGUAAAGGGCGUGUAGGCGGAGAUGCAAGUUAGGAGUGAAAUCUAUGGGCUCAACCCAUAAACUGCUUCUAAAACUGUAUCCCUUGAGUAUCGGAGAGGCAAGCGGAAUUCCUAGUGUAGCGGUGAAAUGCGUAGAUAUUAGGAGGAACACCAAUGGCGAAGGCGGCUUGCUGGACGACAACUGACGCUGAGGCGCGAAAGCGCGGGGAGCAAACAGGAUUAGAUACCCUGGUAGUCCAUGCCGUAAACGAUGAAUACUAGGUGUGGGGGGACUGACCCCUUCCGUGCCGGAGUUAACACAAUAAGUAUUCCACCUGGGGAGUACGACCGCAAGGUUGAAACUCAAAGGAAUUGACGGGGGCCCGCACAAGCAGUGGAGUAUGUGGUUUAAUUCGAAGCAGCGCGAAGAACCUUACCAGGUCUUGACAUCCGACUAACGAAGUAGAGAUACAUCAGGUGCCCUUCGGGGAAAGUCGAGACAGGUGGUGCAUGGUUGUCGUCAGCUCGUGUCGUGAGAUGUUGGGUUAAGUCCCGCAACGAGCGCAACCCCUGCCGAUAGUUGCUACGCAAGAGCACUCUAUCGGGACCGCUACCGAUAAGGUGGAGGAAGGUGGGGAUGACGUCAAAUCAUCAUGCCCUUUAUGACCUGGGCUACACACGUACUACAAUGGCCGUUAACAGAGGGAAGCAAGUCCGCGAGGAGGAGCAAAACCCUAAAAGCGGUCCCAGUUCAGAUUGUAGGCUGCAACUCGCCUAUAUGAAGUUGGAAUUGCUAGUAAUCGCGGAUCAGCAUGCCGCGGUGAAUACGUUCCCGGGCCUUGCACUCACCGCCCGUCA
rnacentral:rRNA from 1 species